UUUAAUUACGGUUAUAGUACAACUCAGUGCAGACUUAACACCAUAAGGCUGAGAAAUCGACCCACUCUGGCGGAGAUUGUAGAAUGGAAUAUUCAAAGGAUACUUUGAAAUUAUUUCUAAAUCUUUUGUAGUGAUACAUUAGAUUCACGCAUCAAAGGAUGCGGCUACGGGGAGAUUGUGCUGGGAUAAUCGCAUUUAAGGUCCUGUUCUUCUCGCUUCCAUAAUAGACAGCAUUGUUAACAGCAAUGCCGAAUCCUUGUUAGGGUAAGGCUGGUAACUUUGCCAAACCAAGGAAAUACCAAUAAGGAAGUUGGCAAUUGAUGUGGCGUAAUCUACUAUAAGAGAAGGUCAAGGGUCAAGUAGCCGAAAUUUGCCAAGACAGUAUGAUAUUAAUUUAGUAAAAAUUAUUGGUAAUACUAUUCUGAAUGGUCGGUGAAAGAUAGAGGUAGUCAGUCCUCUGUGAGAUUUGGCUUAGGCCGGGGCAAGAAGUUAUGAAGUCGCUAUUCAUAGCUCAGACUUGUUUCCUUACUUACCUAAUAAAAUGAAGAUUAUUAACCAGUAGGGCGAAGGUCCGUAGUAUAAUUGUAAUUA
rnacentral:sRNA from 1 species